UUAUAGCUUGCUAUGAUAAAAAUUAGUGGCAGACGGGUGAGUAAUGCAUAGGAAUCUACCUAGUAGUAUGGGAUAGCCACUAGAAAUGGUGGGUAAUACUGUAUAAUCCCUGCGGGGGAAAGAUUUAUCGCUAUUAGAUGAGCCUAUGUUAGAUUAGCUAGUUGGUAGGGUAAAGGCCUACCAAGGCAGUGAUCUAUAGCUGGUCUGAGAGGAUGAUCAGCCACACUGGAACUGAGAUACGGUCCAGACUCCUACGGGAGGCAGCAGUGGGGAAUAUUGGACAAUGGGCGCAAGCCUGAUCCAGCUAUGCCGCGUGAGUGAGGAAGGCCUUAGGGUUGUAAAACUCUUUCAGUGGGGAAGAUAAUGACGGUACCCACAGAAGAAGUCCCGA
rnacentral:rRNA from 1 species